CGCUGGGCCCGGCUGUGAGCGCGGGGCCGGGAUCGGACGGGUCUGGGUUUGGAAAGCGACGUGGCUUCUCCGCAGUGAAACCCGCUGCUGGGGCUGUGGGUCAGCCUGAGAGUCGCAUUAUGCAGAUAUGACCCCCUACUCCUUAAUUAUAAAACACAUUUUGAAAUUAUCUGAUCUGCCGGAGACGCACGUGGGGAAGACACAUGGAAUGGAAUCGGUAUGUCACGGAGUCCCUGGGCGAUGCUCUGGAACUGCUCCCCACA